UGGGAAUAUUGGACAAUGGGGGCAACCCUGAUCCAGCCAUGCCGCGUGAGUGAUGAAGGCCUUCGGGUUGUAAAGCUCUUUUGGCGGGGACGAUGAUGACGGUACCCGCAGAAUAAGCCCCGGCUAACUUCGUGCCAGCAGCCGCGGUAAGACGAAGGGGGCUAGCGUUGUUCGGAAUUACUGGGCGUAAAGCGAGUGUAGGUGGUUGUCCAAGUUGGAUGUGAAAGCCUUGAGCUCAACUCAAGAAAUGCAUUCAGGACUGGAUGGCUAGAGGACCGGAGAGGAUAGUGGAAUUCCCAGUGUAGUGGUGAAAUACGUAGAGAUUGGGAAGAACACCAGUGGCGAAGGCGGCUAUCUGGACGGUUUCUGACACUAAGACUCGAAAGCGUGGGGAGCAAACA
rnacentral:rRNA from 1 species